rnacentral:tRNA from 1 species
CAAAUAGUAGCUUAUUAUAAAGCAUCUGGCUUACAACCAGAAGUCGUUGAAAACUCAACCAUUUUG